rnacentral:rRNA from 1 species
UACGGAGGGUGCAAGCGUUAUCCGGAUUCACUGGGUUUAGAGGGUGCGUAGGCGGGUUGGUAAGUCCGUGGUGAAAUCUCCGAGCUUAACUCGGAAACUGCCGUGGAUACUAUCAAUCUUGAAUAUCGUGGAGGUAAGCGGAAUAUGUCAUGUAGCGGUGAAAUGCUUAGAGAUGACAUAGAACACCAAUUGCGUAGGCAGCUUACUACACGAUCAUUGACGCUGAGGCACGAAAGCGUGGGGAGCAAACAGG